CAGUAGCCACGGUAAUACGAAGGGGGCUAGCGUUGUUCGGAUUUACUGGGCGUAAAGGGAGCGUAGGCGGAUUUUUAAGUCAGGGGUGAAAUCCCAAGGCUCGACCUUGGAACUGCCUUUGAUACUGGAGAUCUUGAGUCCGGGAGAGGUGAGUGGAACUGCGAGUGUAGAGGUGAAAUUCGUAGAUAUUCGCAAGAACACCAGUGGCGAAGGCGGCUCACUGGCCCGGAACUGACGCUGAGGCUCGACAGCGUGGGGAGCAAACAGGAUUAGAUACCCGCGUAGUCCCUGUCUCUUAUAU
rnacentral:rRNA from 1 species